UACGAAGGGGGCUAGCGUUGCUCGGAAUCACUGGGCGUAAAGCACACGUAGGCGGCUUGCUAAGUCAGGGGUGAAAUCCUGGAGCUCAACUCCAGAACUGCCUUUGAUACUGAAGAUCUUGAGUUCGGGAGAGGUGAGUGGAACUGCGAGUGUAGAGGUGAAAUUCGUAGAUAUUCGCAAGAACACCAGUGGCGAAGGCGGCUCACUGGCCCGAUACUGACGCUGAGGCGCGAAAGCGUGGGGAGCAAACAGG
rnacentral:rRNA from 1 species